AGCACUCUCUUUGGUGUGUCUUGGGGAGAUAACCAGAGAAACUUAAGAGAAGCCAUGCUUGAGCUCUUCCUCCCAUUCCAGUAUUACAUACAACUGCUGGGGGUCUUUUAAUGAUCAGGCUGUAGCCAGGAGGAAAAAGGUCACUGAAUCAAAGCAAGCUUUGGAAAACAUCUCUUUACCCUUGGCUUGCUACUACCGGGAACUAUAGGGGUUGAGCCGUCUUCCCUAAUGCCCUGUCCUCCAACAAGAGUUUGGGGUUUGGUAGCUCUCCCUCCCUCAAGUUCCAUUAUGGAAUCAACAGAGGAACCCUCGCUUUUUGGGAAACAGCCAGAAUUGUGAGGAAGAGCUUUCUAAAAGAAGAGCUUCUAAAAGAGCUUUCUACAAUCAAAGAAGAAGAUGUCUGGAAUGGGCGAUGAAAAUACAUAAAGAGAAUGCAAUACUAUCUCAUAUAGAAGAAAGAAGCAGUGGAAGAAAAGGAAAAUUUUUUAAAAGUUUAGCAAGAGAUUCCACUAGGCAAAGUCCUCCCAAGGACAUUGAAGAGUGAAAAUGGAAGGACAAAAAACUUAAGAAAAACAGAAGAAAUUUGUGAAAAUUAUAAAAGCAGAUUUUUUUUAUCAUCAAGGACAACAGAAUUACUACACUUCAGACCUACACAGUUCCAGAUGCACAGCCAGAUGGAUCAAAUGGAUAUUGAGUAGAUGUUGGAGGAAGCACAAAUGUGACGGUACAGAGGGACAAAAUGCAAGGCAUCUUGAGGAAAAUGUACCAAAGGUAUGAAGAAAAAAUACUGAGACUUUAA